CAACUCGCCUACACGAAGCUGGAAUCGCUAGUAAUCGCGGAUCAGCACGCCGCGGUGAAUACGUUCCCGGGCCUUGUACACACCGCCCGUCACACCAUGAGAGUCUGUAACACCCAAGCCGGUGGGAUAACCUUUAUAGGAGUCAGCCGUCUAAGGUAGGACAGAUGUAUUAGGGUGAAGUCGUAACAAGGUACC
rnacentral:rRNA from 1 species